rnacentral:piRNA from 1 species
UGAAACAGUUGAGACCUUGGUGAUUAGGGCU